AUGCCCUUGGCCUCCUCCUCCCUCGGCGCCUCCCCGCCGGCCGUGGCCCCUGCUGCACGCGCGCAUCCAAGGAAGAUGCAAAACGGGUCGAAAGAAGUUGAACGGGAUGUCGUCCGCGCCGCCGGCCACCACCUCGGCCUCGCCACCACCCAGGCCGACCCUCAUGAGUCCCGGCGUGGAGUAGAACUGCAGGCCCAGUUUGACCUAUCGGAGGCCUCAAGUUCACUGUCGCUUGCUCCAAGCUGCAAAAUUUGGCCACAAAUUUUGGUUUCAGUGUUCAGAUACUGAGAUAUAGCAGAGAAUUAGAGAUGAGAUGUAGGACGAUUUCUUCGGAGGGAGAGGAUAGCUGACAAGAUGAAGGCGUUGCUGGAGCUGGUCCCUAACGCCAACAAGGAAGACCAAAUUUUCCCCUAUCUUUUCUUUUCUCCUUUCUUUUUCUCCUUUUGCCCAUUCUUUUGAACGAAGUAGCAGGAAGCUUUCCUUGAGAUGUGGUGAGGGUGCACUCAUUUCUUUUUCUUUUUUCAUUUUUGCACUGUGUUGUGAUGUAGCAUUACGUUUUUCCUUAAAUUUAGUAUUUGGCUGAUACACUAUCUUGACUUGUUAUAGUAUAAUGUGCUAUGCUCUCCUAUGUGUAACAUUGGUAAAAUAAAAGGUGCAUUACGGAAUAGAAAAACAUGGUAGUUGGGGCAUAUUGUGCAUUUGGCCACUUCACUGCUUGGCUGAUGCCACACGUGUCGGACCUCCAUUGGGAGGAUGUGUUUUAGUAAUUAGUAGCUUCUAAAGAUGGUCUAGCACUUUAUUCUUUUUUAAAAAAGUUGGUCUAACACUAGCAGUAGUAAAAAUCUGCUGCCAGUAAGGCCGCAAAACUAUUACAUUGCAUUAUCUAGGGGAAUGUUGAUCACUGGAAGCCACAAGAUUCCUGAGGGGAAUGGUAGGUUAACUGGCUAGACUUUAGUGUAGGAUUUGUUCAGUGCGGUCAAGGUUAACUAUUACAUGACAUUUUAUCUAGGGGGAUGUUGAUCACUGGAAGCCACAAUUAAAAUUCCAAACAUUUCUUUGGGCUUGCAUCUUAGGUGGCUGCAUUGCUUGAACUUCUACCAAAAGGAAGAGGCUACUCGAAUAAAAAUUGGAGAGGAUUAUAGUUUCAUUCAAUUGGAAGAUUGGGUUUCUUUACCUCUCCUUUUAUGAUGUGAUGUGAUCUACAAUUUGUUGGAAGUAAAUUGAUUUUUUUCUUGAUUUGUUUGUGACCUUUUUGGUUUCAAUAAAGGAAGAGGAAGAAAUUGAAAUGUUUUUGGAAAUUAUUUUCAACAGUAUUCCUCUCACCCCCAGCAAACACUAGAUUAGGCAUCCUUCUUGGGUUUGAGCAACAGCAUAACAGGAUGAGCUGGUCCCUCCUCUUUUUCUUGCCAUGUGUUAUUGGACAUCUGAUGAGAGAACAAAUUUCAUUCAAGUUCUUGCUUUAGUAUCCAGUAAGUAGGGAUUGUAUUGCUCAUUUAGUCUGUAGCAAAGAUUGCAUAGAAUUCUAACCAGUUGCUGAUAUUGUGUAGUGUGUAGAGAUGUAGUUAAGUAGUUCAGAGCAUGGCAUCAAACUAAUUUAGAUUUUUUUUCUCAGUUUCUAAAAGCUUUAUAGGUGCAAAUUUCUGCUGUAGAUUAGCAACAUCUAUGCAUAUAUUAUGAAUAGGCAAGCCUGAAAUUGAUAUACUCCCAUUGUACCAAGUUGGUCAAUAUACAUUGCUUAAAAAUAUCAAGUUCGUGAAAAAUGUCAAAUCCCACGAAAUUAGCUAGAUUGGAUAGAUAAAUCUGAAAUUCUGUAGCAUUGAAUCAGAGGUACCUUUCUUAUGCAUUGAAGCUAAUAACAGUUUCAGAGAUGAAAGAGUAACUAUUUUCCCAAAGAUAUGUCAUAAUAGCCCACAGGUUGUUGGUUUAGUCUUUAGCUAAAUUAACUGAUCCAUACUACAUGUUUGCUUAGGAAUAUAAUUAUGUACUCCUGGUUUGCUCAACAUGUUUGUUUUCCUGGCAUGGCCAUCUAAAUGACCUCGCUAUGAGAAACUAAGAAAGAACUUUCCUUUUUGAUUGCCUCUGAAGAAGUUUGAUCCAUGUGAUGUUUUUGAGUAAAGGCAUAUGAUUUACUUUUCAGAGAUUGGUGAAUAGCAAGAGAAAAUGUUAUCUUAUCUGAUUCAUGUCAAUUUGUGGCUGUGAUUUAUAUCUUUAGGACCAUUUCAAUAUUGAGUAGAAUACAUAGCUGCAUUGUAUUUUUUUUCCUUUCCUGUUUAGCAUGAUCAGAAUUAAGUAUCUGUACUUAUGCAGAAGUAAACAAUCUAACAAAUGCAGACUUGUAUAUUUUACAGUGCUAAUUGACUAAAACAGAUAAUUUUGUUUCAAGAUAGAAUAAUUUUGUAUUGAAAGCUUCAUCUUUGAUUGCUGAAUCAUAGAAGUUUUUUGCAGUGAUUUGUAUCUUUAGGACCAUUUAAUAUUGAGUAAAACACAAAACUGCACUGUGUUUUCCCCUUUCCUGUUUAGCUUAACCAGAAUUAAGUAUCUGUACUUAUGCAGAGGCAAACAAACUAGAAAAUGCAGGCUUGUAUAUUUUAGAGUGCUUAUACACUAAAAGAGAUAAUUUUGUUACAAAAUGUAAUAAUUUUGUACUGAAAACUUCGUUUGAGCUUUUUCUUGUGAGUGCCAUCAGUUGCCUAUUCGGUGUGUCUUACAUCUUGUGCUUUUUCUUGUGCCUGGAGCAAUCUUCCUCUGUUUGAGCAGCAGGUUCUUAGGACGAAGGUUCGUGCACGGUUGCUGCUGCUUUCAGCUGUGUGUGCUCCAAGGACUUGCAGAGGGUCUCCUCUACCUACUAAAAGGGCCUUGCAGGGUCUCUUCUACCUACUAAUUCAUCUGCUACCCUGCUCGGAUGUACUACAAUGUUCAUGAUUGAGAUGCCGGACAAACACCUGGUGCACAGGACAGCUUGGUGCUCGGAUGUCUUGUAAUAUCCAUUAUUCUGAUGUUGGACAAACACUUGAUGGCUAGAAUAGCUUGCUCGGAUGUGAUGUAAUAUUUAUGAUUCAAAUGCCGGAUAUACAUAUAUUAACAUGUUGAUUAUGUGCCUA